rnacentral:lncRNA from 1 species
UGGAAUCAUCGACAAUUGCAAUAUGAAGGUUGACAUAAUUUUCCACAACUUCUAAAAUGCAUUCCAUUUGUGUCAGUUUCAUGUCAAAAACCUUAUCAACUGUAAAAUAAUAAUCACAACAAAUCUCACAAGAACCAUCUGAACAUCGAUCAAAUACUGGAGGGAUAUCCAAAUCUAAUAAAUGAUUAAAUGUAUGAUCACCACUAACUUUUUUUUUUUUUUUUUUUUUUAUAACAGCUGGUGUAGAUUUGACUUACUACACAACUGGCGUGCAGUUCCUCCUCAGGAUUUCAGUUUUGCAACUAAAUCUCGCUCUGAUACCAACUGAUGAAACACGAAGUGCUGAUGCGAAAUAGCUAGAAAUUACAUGAGGCGCUCAAAGAGAAAGAGUCUUUGAUAAUAGAAAGAGCAUAGCUCUGUUUGACAUUACAAUUGAAAUUCUUAAUAAUUUAUCAUCCCCACAGAAGCCUACAGACCUUUAUUUAAGCUAAAACAAAAGCAAUUGAAAGGACUCAAAUAUUAACUACGAUACAUGUAUCAUACUAGAAACCACAUGCAUUUGACUUUAUUCCCUUGCACCACCCAAGACUUCUUGACUUUCCAAUUACUGAAUAAUGGAUCAGUCAUUAAACAUCUCCCUUAAUGCACUGCAUCAAAAUGUCAAAUUAAUGAUGAUGAAGAUGUUAAGAAGAGCAAAUAGUGACCAUAGGAGAGAAAGAGUGGGUCUGGACUGGAAUAGGUGGGUGGAGGAGAAAGGGAUGGGUUGUGGUAGGUGGUGGGAUGGGGCCAGGCUAGAUUUUCUUUUUAAUUAUAAAUUUUAUAAAGAUUUUUUUAUUUUUUUAUUUUUUUUAUCCUUUUGGUUUUAUGUAUUUAAUUUUUAUUUUAUUCGAAAAUACAAAUAUACUCUUAGUAUUAAUAAAGAAUUGGAUGAAUAAUCUAAAAUCUAACGGUAGGGGUAAUCGGCCACUUCAAUUUAUUCAGGUGUUAAAUUGGCUGACCUUUUAGUUCAGGGGUUAAGUUCGAUUGGGGUCCUAAUUUGUUAGGCCAACAUAACCCAACCCAAACUUUCUGUGACGGGGUUGGGUUGGACCGCGCCCUCCCCCACAAAAAAAAUAUAUAGCAGUUUAUGAUUCUUAGACCCAAGACUUGC